rnacentral:rRNA from 1 species
GAUGAACGCUGGCGGCGUGCCUAAUACAUGCAAGUCGAGCGAACAGACGAGGAGCUUGCUCCUCUGACGUUAGCGGCGGACGGGUGAGUAACACGUGGAUAACCUACCUAUAAGACUGGGAUAACUUCGGGAAACCGGAGCUAAUACCGGAUAAUAUAUUGAACCGCAUGGUUCAAUAGUGAAAGACGGUUUUGCUGUCACUUAUAGAUGGAUCCGCGCCGCAUUAGCUAGUUGGUAAGGUAACGGCUUACCAAGGCAACGAUGCGUAGCCGACCUGAGAGGGUGAUCGGCCACACUGGAACUGAGACACGGUCCAGACUCCUACGGGAGGCAGCAGUAGGGAAUCUUCCGCAAAGGGCGAAAGCCUGACGGAGCAACGCCGCGUGAGUGAUGAAGGUCUUCGGAUCGUAAAACUCUGUUAUUAGGGAAGAACAAAUGUGUAAGUAACUAUGCACGUCUUGAGGGUACCUAAUCAGAAAGCCACGGCUAACUACGUG